UGUCUUGGCUGUCUUACGUUACGUUGUGUUAUCAACCGAAUGUGUUAAACGGUUUGGUUUGUGUUAAACUGCUCCCCACCAUGCAUUUACAUCUCCAUGUAAAGGAGUUCAUGUUGGACUACGGACCAGUUUAUUUGGUGAUUUUCAUCUGAGCGUUUCAAUACUGGAACAACUGAAGUCCAGAUUAUGAGGAAAUUUCUAUUGGAUCAACAACGUUCUAUGCCACGGACUUGUGAAUAUGGUGGUGGAAAUAAUAAUAUUUAGCAAUCACUAAUGACUGGAACUUUACUUGAUGACUGACCUGAUGUGCUUCAUGUAAAGCAGAAGAACUUCUCCUGCAACAGGAAUAGCAGCGCCACACAACCAUACAUGAGGGUGAAAAUAGUAUCACUGUCAUCGACUGCUUUGCUAUGACAACCAUAGAUGCAGCAGAAAGAGCCGAUUGCAUCGUUCCUUCUCAGAGAGUUUAGUUGUCCAGAGGAGUUUGUAUAAAAGCACUUCACCCAACGAACCCAACAGAGGAGUUGUGGAGGAGAGGAUUACAGGAGAGCGGGAAGCUUACGACGGAAACGGAGAGAUGAAAGAGAUUGAUAUGCAUCACCUUUGAGGACACGAUGUGGGUGAAAAUAUCUCAGAAUGCAGCACGUGCAAAUAUUUUGCAUAACGUUAUGAAUGAAAACCUGAGCACCCUCGAAGCUGCAAUGCAUCGCCCUCGUGACCCUUAGCUGUAACCCCGUCUGAAAGCCAACCAACAAGUUUUCUCCAACGUUUUCGUCUUUUUUUUUUUUUUUUUG